UACGUAGGUGGCAAGCGUUGUCCGGAUUUACUGGGCGUAAAGAGCGCGCAGGCGGUCGUUCAAGUCGAGUGUGAAAGCCCCCGGCUCAACUGGGGAGGGUCACUCGAUACUGAUCGACUCGAAGGCAGAAGAGGGAAGCGGAAUUCCCGGUGUAGUGGUGAAAUGCGUAGAUAUCGGGAGGAAUACCGGUGGCGAAGGCGGCAUCCUGGACCGGCAUUGACGCUGAGUGAGCGAAAGCCAGGGGAGCAAACGGG
rnacentral:rRNA from 1 species